CCGAAACCCGGUGAUCUAGCCAUGGGCAGGUUGAAGGUUGGGUAACACUAACUGGAGGACCGAACCGACUAAUGUUGAAAAAUUAGCGGAUGACUUGUGGCUGGGGGUGAAAGGCCAAUCAAACCGGGAGAUAGCUGGUUCUCCCCGAAAGCUAUUUAGGUAGCGCCUCGUGAAUUCAUCUCCGGGGGUAGAGCACUGUUUCGGCAAGGGGGUCAUCCCGACUUACCAACCCGAUGCAAACUGCGAAUACCGGAGAAUGUUAUCACGGGAGACACACGGCGGGUGCUAACGUCCGUCGUGAAGAGGGAAACAACCCAGACCGCCAGCUAAGGUCCCAAAGUCAUGGUUAAGUGGGAAACGAUGUGGGAAGGCCCAGACAGCCAGGAUGUUGGCUUAGAAGCAGCCAUCAUUUAAAGAAAGCGUAAUAGCUCACUGGUCGAGUCGGCCUGCGCGGAAGAUGUAACGGGGCUAAACCAUGCACCGAAGCUGCGGCAGCGACGCUUAUGCGUUGUUGGGUAGGGGAGCGUUCUGUAAGCCUGUGAAGGUGUGCUGUGAGGCAUGCUGGAGGUAUCAGAAGUGCGAAUGCUGACAUAAGUAACGAUAAAGCGGGUGAAAAGCCCGCUCGCCGGAAGACCAAGGGUUCCUGUCCAACGUUAAUCGGGGCAGGGUGAGUCGACCCCUAAGGCGAGGCCGAAAGGCGUAGUCGAUGGGAAACAGGUUAAUAUUCCUGUACUUGGUGUUACUGCGAAGGGGGGACGGAGAAGGCUAUGUUGGCCGGGCGACGGUUGUCCCGGUUUAAGCGUGUAGGCUGGUUUUCCAGGCAAAUCCGGAAAAUCAAGGCUGAGGCGUGAUGACGAGGCACUACGGUGCUGAAGCAACAAAUGCCCUGCUUCCAGGAAAAGCCUCUAAGCAUCAGGUAACAUCAAAUCGUACCCCAAACCGACACAGGUGGUCAGGUAGAGAAUACCAAGGCGCUUGAGAGAACUCGGGUGAAGGAACUAGGCAAAAUGGUGCCGUAACUUCGGGAGAAGG
rnacentral:rRNA from 1 species